rnacentral:rRNA from 1 species
UGCCAGCAGCCGCGGUAAUACGGAGGGUGCAAGCGUUGUUCGGAAUCACUGGGCGUAAAGCGUACGUAGGUGGCAAGGCCAGUCAGGCGUGAAAGCCCUCGGCUCAACCGAGGAAUUGCGUUUGAUACUGCUUUGCUAGAGUCUCGGAGAGGUUGGCGGAAUUCCAGGUGUAGGAGUGAAAUCCGUAGAUAUCUGGAGGAACACCAGUGGCGAAGGCGGCCAACUGGACCGAUACUGACGCUGAGACGCGAAAGCGUGGGGAGCAAACAGGAUUAGAUA